GUGGCGCACGGGUGAGUAAGGUAUAGUUAAUCUGCCCUACACAAGAGGACAACAGUUGGAAACGACUGCUAAUACUCUAUACUCCUGCUUAACACAAGUUGAGUAGGGAAAGUUUUUCGGUGUAGGAUGAGACUAUAUAGUAUCAGCUAGUUGGUAAGGUAAUGGCUUACCAAGGCUAUGACGCUUAACUGGUCUGAGAGGAUGAUCAGUCACACUGGAACUGAGACACGGUCCAGACUCCUACGGGAGGCAGCAGUAGGGAAUAUUGCGCAAUGGGGGAAACCCUGACGCAGCAACGCCGCGUGGAGGAUGACACUUUUCGGAGCGUAAACUCCUUUUCUUAGGGAAGAAUUCUGACGGUACCUAAGGAAUAAGCACCGGCUAACUCCGUGCCAGCAGCCGCGGUAAUACGGAGGGUGCAAGCGUUACUCGGAAUCACUGGGCGUAAAGGGCGCGUAGGCGGAUUAUCAAGUCUCUUGUGAAAUCUAAUGGCUUAACCAUUAAACUGCUUGGGAAACUGAUAGUCUAGAGUGAGGGAGAGGCAGAUGGAAUUGGUGGUGUAGGGGUAAAAUCCGUAGAUAUCACCAAGAAUACCCAUUG
rnacentral:rRNA from 1 species